GCUCGCCUUUGUUUUCUUUAACUCUGCGGGGUCUGGGGGGUUUCUUUUCUUUUUUCCUUCCCCCAACCCCCUUCCCCCGCACCGUCGCUAUUUCUUUUCCCCCGUUUAUUUAUUUCUCAUUUUCUCCCCCCUUUCCUCCCGCUCCCGUCUUUUCCCUCUCUCCGUAGGCGCGGCAGCGGAGGUGGCGCGGGGAGCGCGGAGUGCGGUGCGCGGUGGGAUUUGUUAAUCCGCCAGCAAGUCGGGACAGGUGCCGUGUCGUGGCAUGCCGUGCCGUAGUAUGUCGCGCCGUGUCGUGGCAUGUCGCGCUGUGUCGCGGCGUGCCGCGGGGGCGCGGGGCGGGCGCGCAUUAGCGGGGCGCGGGGGAGCGGCGGGGGCGGCAUUCAGCUGCGCCCGGAGUGGUGUGUCACUCGCGUGAGAGCCUGUGAUCAGCGCCGGCCUCUCUGGGAAGCAACACCAGUCUCGUUCCAGAAGA